GCGGCAAAAGCUCAAAUUUGAAAUCUGAGGCUUUCAGCCCCCGAGUUGUAAUUUGAAGAUGGUGUUCUGGUGCCGGCCCCCUGUCUACGUUCCUUGGAACAGGACAUCACAGAGGGUGAGAAUCCCGUCUGGCGGGGCGGCCUGGCUCCGUGUAGAGCGCCAUCGACGAGUCGAGUUGUUUGGGAAUGCAGCUCUAAGUGGGUGGUAAAUUCCAUCUAAAGCUAAAUAUUGGCGAGAGACCGAUAGCGAACAAGUACAGUGAUGGAAAGAUGAAAAGAACUUUGAAAAGAGAGUGAAAAAGUACGUGAAAUUGUUGAAAGGGAAGGGUAUUGGAUCAGACUUGGUGCUGUGCGAAUAGCGGCCCUUCUUGGGCUGCCCACUCGCACUCCACCGGGCCAGCAUCGGUUUGGGCGGCAAGACAAUGGCGGGGGAACGUGGCACUGCUCUCGGGCAGUGUGUUUAUAGCCCCCGCUGAUGUUGCCUGCCUAGACCGAGGACUGCGGCUUCUGCCUAGGAUGCUGGCGUAAUGAUCCAACACCGCCCGUCUUG
rnacentral:rRNA from 1 species